rnacentral:rRNA from 1 species
GAUUUAUAAUAACUUAGCAAAUCGCAAAGUGAAAACAGGCGAUAAAUCAUUCAAGUUUCUGACCUAUCAGCUUUCGACGGUAUGGUAUUGGCUUACCGUGGCAGUGACGGUUAACGGGGGAUUAGGGUUCGAUUCCGGAGAGGGAGCCUGAGAAACGGCUACCACAUCUAAGGAAGGCAGCAGGCGCGCAAAUUACCCAAUUCUAACAGUUUGAGAGAGGUAGUAACAAGAAAUAACAAUACAAGGCAGUUAAAAUGCUUUGUAAUUGGAAUGAUAGAAAUUUAAACCCUUUUUAAAGUAUCAAUUGGAGGGCAAGUCUGGUGCCAGCAGCCGCGGUAAUUCCAGCUCCAAUAGCGUAUAUUAAAAUUGUUGCAGUUAAAAAGCUCGUAGUUGAAGUUCUGCUGAAAGUAACCGGUCUGCUUUUAAUAAAAGUGGUAUCUUGGUAUGUAUUUAGCAAUGAUGUCCUUUGAAGUGUUUUUUACUUUAUUGUAAUAAAGCAUAUUCAGGACUUUUACUUUGAAAAAAUUAGAGUGUUUCUAGCAGGCUAACGCUUUGAAAUACUGCAGCAUGGAAUAAUA